rnacentral:lncRNA from 1 species
GAGAAUAAAAUAGGUCAGUUUGCUAAGCUGAUAUCAGAAAGACCACAAGGUAGCUUGCCUAGCAACACUGAGACUAACCCAAGAGAGCAGCUCCAUGCGAUUACUAUUCGAUAUGAAGAAGGGUUAGUUGAGUCCAAACCAGACCCAAGGUAAGAAACUAUGGUAAGUCAAGAUAAGGUGGAUGAAAGCCAGAAUAAACAAAACCUGGUGAGUAGAGAAUAUACACCUCGUGUGCCAUACUCUAAUGCGAC